rnacentral:rRNA from 1 species
CUUAGUGGCGGACGGGUGAGUAACGCGUGGGGAACCUGCCCUGUACCGGGGGAUAGCAGCCGGAAACGGUUGAUAAUACCGCAUAAGCGCACGAAUGUCGCAUGACAUGGUGUGAAAAACUCCGGUGGUAUAGGAUGGACCCGCGUCUGAUUAGCCGGUUGGUGGGGUAAAAGCCUACCAAAGCGAAGAUCAGUAGCCGAGUUGAGAGACUGACCGGCCACAUUGGGACUGAGACACGGCCCAGACUCCUACGGGAGGCAGCAGCC